CCACAGCCAAGUCUUGAUUUAAUAACAGGUACUGCAGAUCUCUGGGUGGGCCUGAGCCUCUGUUUUAGAAGCAGCCGCACCAUCCGAGGGGCAGGUCCGUGUGGGCUGGCAGGCGGCCUGGUCCUUGGAGCACAGGGUGGACCUGACCCAGUCCUCGCAGUGCGGGGCCUUGCAGUUCUAGAAUGUAGUGAUGCAACCUGUGGCAUAAAUAAAAAGCCUCAUGUGCCCCCAUGAGAAGCUGGGGCUUCCCCUCAGUACUGGGGUGUGCUGUGUUUGUGAUCGUGCAGAUGUAAAAGUGUGAGGGAGAUGUCUAAAAACCAGGCUCCCAAAGACAGUCCUUCAUGUCUGGUGCUUUCAUGUGUGUAUGCACACCUGUUUGACGCGUGUACACCUUCACUCGUGCCCGUUUCAUGCGUGUACACCUGUUCAUGUGUGCAUGCACCUGUUUCGCGUGUGUAUGUGCCUGGGCAUUCACCCUGCAUUGCGUCAUAUGUUGUAUUUUACAGAUUUUUUUUUUUUUUCAGUUUGUAUCGUGAGCUUGUAACGACUUUGUGAAGAAAAGAGGGGGCCCUGGCAGCCUUUGACUUUGAGAAACGUGAUGUCACGGGACCAGAUGAGACAGCCCGGGUGAGGCCGGCAGAGGCCAUCGUGGCCUGGGAGUCCGUGCACAUCCACUGUCUGUCGCUGUGUGACAAGUGACCCCAAAACCUAGGGGUGAAGUUCAGUGACUACGUUUUCUGAGGAACAACGAUGUCCUUGUGAACAAUUGGUGAUCAAGGAAGCAAACAAGUGUGGGAAAAUGAUCCUGCCUUGAAACCUGAAAAACGGCAAAACAGUAAAGAGCCCUGAAGAGCCCAUGAACCUCCUCAUGGGGCAGUGAGGAGACACCACAGUAAUGGCUUAAAAAAAAAAUGAGAUGAUACUGAAGAAAAGGUAA